GACGAACCGUGCGAACGUUGUUCGGAAUCACUGGGCUUAAAGGGCGCGUAGGCGGGCUGAAAAGGCUGGGGUGAAAUCCCGCGGCUCAACCGUGGAACUGCCUUAGAUACUGUCGGCCUCGAGGGAGGUAGGGGCGUGCGGAACUGUAGGUGGAGCGGUGAAAUGCGUUGAUAUCUACAGGAACUCCGGUGGCGAAAGCGGCGCGCUGGACCUCUUCUGACGCUGAGGCGCGAAAGCUAGGGGAGCAAACGGG
rnacentral:rRNA from 1 species